AUGGAUCGAGUAGAGGACGCUCAGUCUGCCUCAGAUGCUGGGACAACUUCUGGAUUCACCCUGGCCUGGCCUCGAAUGCAUCCCAGAAGCAGAUGUGCCAUCAAGUCCAGAAGACCAUGUGUGUCUGCUGGACUGUAUAGCUCUGGGCCGUCAUGCCCAAAACAGUCAAGAGCAGUGUGGUCACUAAACGAUCCACUGUGAAAAUCAAUGUGACAGGGACAGAGUUUGUGGUCGUUUGGAUACCAAUGCUUUCAUUUCUGAAAGGCACUACUGUACUCACCUACAAGCCUCGACUUCUGGACAAUUUAAGAUUUAGUUUCCCCCACAGAUUCAGUUUCCAGCUCUAGACAUCCGUCUUUCCUACAAUGAUGUGCAGCUUUUCCUGGCAAUAGCCAAAUCCAUUCCAACCACUGGAUCCACCGGCCCUUCGGACACUGCCACAGAAGCUGAGAGGUCAGCGUCCACUGCCAGCACAGACACUCCAUCCAAAUCAAAGGACAGCUUCAGGCAAAAGACAGAUGCUUUAAUGGGUUUGUUAACUGAUAAAAAUAUAUAUAGUUUCUAUUUAAAUAUCUCAAAGAGAUCUGCGAAGAUAUGUUUAGUUUUGGGCAAAACUGUCCCUUUAUUUAAAAAGCUUUUCAGAAGUUUCUUAAAAUAUUUUAUUUUAGAAG
rnacentral:lncRNA from 1 species